rnacentral:rRNA from 1 species
AGUGGGGAAUAUUGGACAAUGGGCGAAAGCCUGAUCCAGCCAUGCCGCGUGAGUGAUGACGGCCCUAGGGUUGUAAAGCUCUUUCGCCAGGGACGAUAAUGACGGUACCUGGAUAAGAAGCCCCGGCUAACUUCGUGCCAGCAGCCGCGGUAAUACGAAGGGGGCUAGCGUUGUUCGGAAUCACUGGGCGUAAAGCGCACGUAGGCGGAUCUUUAAGUCAGGGGUGAAAUCCCGAGGCUCAACCUCGGAACUGCCUUUGAUACUGGGGAUCUCGAGUUCGGGAGAGGUGAGUGGAACUGCGAGUGUAGAGGUGAAAUUCGUAGAUAUUCGCAAGAACACCAGUGGCGAAGGCGGCUCACUGGCCCGAUACUGACGCUGAGGUGCGAAAGCGUGGGGAGCAAA